AUGGUAUUUGUAAUUUACCUCUGAAAAUCAUAUUCUGACAUUCCAUUAUUUGUUUUUGUCUUACAGUUGAUGUAGAUUGGGGCUAAUAAUUUUCAUCACCUUUUUGCCUUUGUCUUUCCACUAUCAUCAAGCUGUAAUGAUAGACAUUUUAGAAAAUUCAACAUCUACUGACUGCACAGCUUCCCAGGCAACCACCACAGCAGGAAUGCUGUGAUACAUAAUCAGCUUUCACAAGGAAAAGAAGGGAUAUGCUGUGAAGAGACUCAACAUAUUGCUACGUAGACAGGCUCCUGGAUGUCCUCUUCAAUGAGGUCACCCUUGAUCCAGCUCUGUAUGUGGGGGAGCUGUGUGAGCUAUCCAUCCCAGGACCCCUGUAUACCCAAUGUGAGAGGCCUGACUAGGAGGCCAUAUCUGGAUUUGUCUCGCGCUACAAUCUUGAGUGUGACUGAAGCCUGCUUGAUUGAAGCGUGGUAUAUGGGUCCCCCUCUCCUGCUCUCCUCCCCAUCAAUCUCUGUAGUUGGUUGCAUUUCCUAAACCCUAAGUAAUUAAUUUUACAUGAUAUGUCACAUUUUUGUUUAAAAAAAUAAAUAAAAAUCAAGCAUU